rnacentral:misc_RNA from 1 species
UUUUGGUUUAGAAGAGGGACUUUCUUCUUGGGGCACACGAGCUGGGCUGUUGUCAUGAUCAUUAUGAGGACCCGAUAGGGAAACUUCAGGAUUGGGGUUUGAGUUCAGCAAAAGUGAAUGGCCCUGAACUUCAGUUGGCUUCCUUUGGCUUGAAUUUUCAUCCUCACUACUUGAAUCCACCGGAGACAUGAAUGAUAUGCCAAACCUUUGCUCAUAGGUUAGACCAGGACAGAGUCCCAUUAAAUUUCUGACCUUCAAACCAGAGACAGGUGAAGAACUUUGAUAACUGGAGCGCGAUAAGAAACUGGAAUCUGCAUGUCGUGUUUGAGAGCCACUGGAAUUAGUUUGUGCACUCACGGCUGAAUGAGUUUUGAGUCUCAAAUUGCUGUUCCUACAAUAUGCUCCGAAGUAUGAACAAUGCUCACGUACUAAGGAUAUUUGAGGAGUUACAGGCAAUAAAUGGCCUUCUGUG